rnacentral:rRNA from 1 species
AGUGAACGCUGGCGGUAGGCCUAACACAUGCAAGUCGAACGGCAGCACAGUAAGAGCUUGCUCUUACGGGUGGCGAGUGGCGGACGGGUGAGGAAUACAUCGGAAUCUACUUUUUCGUGGGGGAUAACGUAGGGAAACUUACGCUAAUACCGCAUACGACCUACGGGUGAAAGCAGGAGAUCUUCGGACCUUGCGCGAUUGAAUGAGCCGAGGUCGGAUUAGCUAGUUGGCGGGGUAAAGGCCCACCAAGGCGACGAUCCGUAGCUGGGCUGAGAGGAUGAUCAGCCACACUGGAACUGAGACACGGUCCAGACUCCUACGGGAGGCAGCAGUGGGGAAUAUUGGACAAUGGGCGCAAGCCUGAUCCAGCCAUACCGCGUGGGUGAAGAAGGCCUUCGGGUUGUAAAGCCCUUUUGUUGGGAAAGAAAAGCAGCAGGUUAAUACCCCGCUGUUCUGACGGUACCCAAAGAAUAAGCACCGGCUAACUUCGUG